rnacentral:misc_RNA from 1 species
GAUUGAAAAGUUUUGAUUCCUCGAAGAACAUUAAUGAGGCUCUGGAAGUGAAAAAGGUUAUUUUUGGUAUAAGUUUGGAUUUAGGCUUGAGUCAUGGAAGAAUUGCAUCCAUGAGGAAAACUUUCAGGAGGGGGAAUGAGGUGGAGGGGAAUUUUGGAAAAAUUUGUGAAAGAGCUCGCUAUGAAAAUGAGUGGGAUGGUUUCAAUUGAAAAGAUAAACUGUAUGGAUUGAGGUCUUGUGAGGAGAUCAAGGAUCAGGUUGAGAUGUCCAUUGACAUGCUAAAUUGUGUAUUUAUAGUUGGAAAAUCAAUUAUUUAGUCUUAGUAAUUGUGGUUCAAG